AGAACUAACUCUGGGCAGCAUGGCCUCUUUCUGGCUUCUCCAAACCCUUGCGAAAAACUUUAUUGGCAAAGCUAUCAGAGAACGGACAGUGUACCCACUGAGGCGGCCAAAGCUUAACUGGAUCAGGGCAGGAUGACUUGACAUUGUAGAUCCCAGAACUGAGGCCCCACGAUGACAGAACAGGAGACCCUGGCCCUGCUGGAAGUGAAGAGGUCUGAUUCCCCAGAGAAGAGCUCACCCCAGGCCUUGGUUCCUAAUGGCCGGCAGCCAGAAGGGGAAGGUGGGGCCGAAUCCCCAGGAGCUGAGUCCCUCAGAGUGGGGUCUUCAACCGGGUCUCCCACAGCCAUAGAGGGGGCUGAGGAUGGUCUAGACAGCACAGUAAGCGAGGCUGCCACCUUGCCCUGGGGGACUGGCCCUCAGCCCAGUGCUCCGUUCCCGGAUCCCCCUGGUUGGCGGGAUAUUGAACCAGAGCCCCCUGAGUCAGAACCACUUACCAAGCUAGAGGAGCUGCCCGAAGACGAUGCCAACCUGCUGCCUGAGAAAGCGGCCCGUGCCUUCGUGCCUAUUGACCUACAGUGCAUCGAGCGGCAGCCCCAAGAAGACCUUAUCAUGCGCUGUGAGGCAGGCGAGGGCAAGUGCCGAACCUUCAUGCCCCCCCGGGCCACCCAGCCCGACCCCACUGAGCGCAAGUGGGCUGAGGCAGUGGUGAGGCCACCUGGCCGUUCCUGUGGGGGCUGCGGGAGCUGUGGAGACCGUGAGUGGCUAAGGGCUGUGGCCUCCGUGGGAGCUGCACUCAUCCUCUUCCCCUGCCUACUAUACGGGGCAUAUGCCUUCCUGCCAUUUGAUGUCCCACGGCUGCCCACCAUGAGUUCCCGCCUGAUCUACACACUGCGCUGCGGGGUCUUUGCCACCUUCCCCAUUGUGCUGGGGAUCCUGGUGUACGGGCUGAGCCUGUUAUGCUUUUCUGCCCUUCGGCCCUUUGGGGAGCCACGGCGGGAAGUGGAGAUCCACCGGCGAUAUGUGGCCCAGUCGAUCCAGCUCUUUAUCCUCUACUUCUUCAACCUGGCCGUGCUUUCUACUUACCUGCCCCAGGAGACCCUCAAACUGCUCCCUCUGCUCACUGGUCUCUUUGCCAUCUCCCGUCUGAUCUACUGGCUGACCUUCGCCGUGGGCCGCUCCUUCCGAGGCUUCGGCUACGGCCUGACGUUUCUGCCGCUGCUGUCGAUGCUGAUGUGGAACCUCUACUGCAUGUUCGUGGUGGAGCCGGAGCGCAUGCUCACUGCCACCGAGAGCCGCCUGGACUACCCGGACCACGCCCGGUCGGCCUCCGACUACAGGCCCCGCCCCUGGGGCUGAGCCGCUCCGCCCUCCCACUCGGAGUAGUGGGUAGUGGCGUGGGUCUGACACGUCCUUGAACCUUGUGGCCAGUCCUGGACUUCGCCCCCAGGCCUAGGACCGCGGUGGGUGGAACCCUGAUACUACCCCAACAGGGACUCCAAUCAAUGAGAGUUCUCCCCUUGCCCGGGCUGCCCUUCACCUUUGGUGCCCGGGACAGUCAUAAGGGAUGGACUUAGUUUUCUUGCAGGAAAAAAGGUGGACAGCCGUGUUUCUUACGGAUGCUGAGGGCAUGGGGCCAGGACCAGGGGAGAGGCACAGCUCCUUCCUGAGCAGUCUCCCACCACUGCCACAAGGGCUCCCUAAUGCUGGACUCUGGUCCACUCCCCGGCUUCCCGUGAGGCAGGAGGCAGAGCCACAGCCAAGGCCCUGACCACUUCUGUGCCAGUUGUCUAAGCACAGUGCGUCAAGGACGCUGGAAAUGCCUUAAGGAUAGAGGCUGGGCAUCACAUCAAAUGGGACUGUGAUGUUUGCUGAAAACCUUCCUGGGGAUCUGGAUUCAGGACCCUCCAUGACUGGCCUUAGGGCCCCUUAGCCUCAGUUAAGACUAUUUACAGCUGGCCAGUCCAGAGGUGCUGCUCUUCUACCUAUUUAGGCCCCUGUAACUUCCCACCUUUAAACUGCCCAGAAGCCAUGCCUCUCUCACGGGAAGAGGGGAGCAGACAGGGGAAUCUGCCUCCCAAGAGCGGGUGUGUGUGGGGGUAUGUGUAUGUGUGUGUGUGCACGUGGGCGCUCACACGUGGUGGCCGGGAAGUGCCUGGAUGGUGUGGUGGCUGAUGUUAACCUAGUAUGAGUGU